ensembl:lncRNA
AUUGCUCUGUGAGGGGACUGCACGCCUGGGAGGAGCAUUGCUAAAGUGUUGAAAUUUCUACAUGCCCAUUCCCUUCCUUCAGGUUUCCUUCUUACUGUAGCGACGGUACCUCAGCAACUACACCGCUGUGUCUGCUGCAGGAGGGAACCCUGCUGAAGGCUGCCUUUGUGCUCAUCAGGUAUUUUAGUAGAACUGUAGUUUGAGCCAUUCAGAUUAGCCUUAAAAGCCAUCCACAGCGUUUGGAGAAUUCCUUUCUGUCAGCACAUGCCAGCGGACACGAGGUAGCCAUGGUAUGGAGGACAGUCUGACUAACCCUAUGUGACCCUUCCAACCUGGAUGGACCUUCAUUCAUAUGAUUGUUUGCUCAUCUAUCAAGUUCCACAUCCUUGUACCUUGUAUAAAGACACCUUGGAGGGUGAGAGGCCCUGAUCAAUGCCUUGGUCACUGCACAAGUACAGAGGAAGGAUCAGUCACAGACAGCAGGCAAAUCUUAACACCUCUGGAAAAGGGAUACCAAGCAACCUUGUUUGGCCAACAUUGCAGGAGCAGAAAGGCUACAGUGACAGAGGCAAUGGAGGCUCCUGAGACUUGCAAAAACUGGUCACUGCUGUGUGUAGGUGUGCAUUUAAUUGCACCCUGAGGUAUCAGCCUUCUUCAAACACAGGUCUGGGCUCUCCUCAGUACCAAAAUGGGCCUCUUAAAGUCAGCUGGCAUAUCUGUUCUCUAGCCCGCUUCAGGGUUGCUCUUAAGUUACACUGAGGCUGAAAUUGGAGGGAUGAAGAUAUCUGGCACAAGACACAGCAAGAAAACAUCAUCUGGGCUAAGAGAAGAUUUAUUAAAGGAAUGUCUUUCAAAGACCAUCAAAAGGCAUCUCAUUGGUAUGUAACGGAACCACUCUUCUUCUUUAUGAAAAAAGAAACACAUCUGGCUUCAAAACUGGGCAACACUACCAAAAAACCAAACCACCCAACCAGGAAAGGAGAAGUGGAAAUUUGCGGCACUCUAGGGGCUAAGGCUGAAUACUACCUGAGCUGAUGCACUCAUCAUUUUUUGUACAACAGUUUCCCACUUCAGGUUUGCUCAACUUUCUUGAUUUUGGUACUAAAUACCAAAUUUGAUGCACUGGCCCUUCAAAGAUCUCUGAAGUGGGGCUAUUUGUUUCAGUAGGACCAGAAAUUUAUUUAGAUUUCUUUCCCCUUAGGAGGUAUCGACUCUAUUUUUUUAUUGAUUUCCAUUGAUUUUUUUCUUUUUACCAGAAUGAUUUUUGUGAUGCUUUUCCUCAAAUAUCCCAGAUUGUAAGCCAUCCCACUUAUGUCCUAUAUAGUCCUAAUAAGUAUAUAGCAGACUUAAAAAGCUUACACGAGUGUCAUUAUUUCAGUGCAACCUACUCAUUCUUCGGAAUUAGAAAAUGAGAAGAAUCUCCAGCAUGAAACAUUUACUCAUCAAGAGAUUUCCAAUUCUUUGUUCUAUUUUCAAGAGGAUUGCCAAAUGGAGAAGUUAAUAGUAUAGAUUUACACCUGAACUGAAUACUGGAUGUCCCCAAAGGGCAAACAUUAAAGCAUUAAACCUGCUCAAGGGGAAAUGGCCAUAAACUGAAGCUUAGGAUGUUCCACAGCAUAUGUGAAAGAACUUCUUCACGGUGAGGGUGACGGAGCACUGGACCAGGCUGCCCAGGGAGGUGGUGGAUUCUCCUUCUCUGCAGAUGUUCAAGGCCCGCCUGGAUGCCUACCUGUGCAGCCUGCUGUAGGGAGCCUGCUUUGCAGAGGGGUUGGACUCAAUGAUCUCUAGAGGUCCCUUCCAAUUCUGUGAUUUCACUUUUGCUUCCUAAUUUCCUAAUUCACAGACUGAUAAUUUGAACUAUGAACUUCUCAACAUAAACGCAUACAUUGAAGGAGACAGCAUGGGGAAAGUGAGGGUUUUUCCCUUGGAUGUAUGUAUUUUCA